rnacentral:lncRNA from 1 species
UGUUCCUCCAUGUCCCUGCCACCCCCCUGGUGUCACCACCCCUCUGUGUCCCCACAGGCACCAAUGACAAGCCCGGGGGUCCCCAUUACCUGCUGCGCUGGACGUCCCCCCAGGCCAUCAAGGAGACGCACGUGCCGCUGGGGGACUGGCGCUACGCCUACAUGCAGUGACCUGGGGACAGCCUGGGGACACUGCCACCCCUCCACUGCACUCACACUACUGACCCCGACCCCCCUCCCCUCAUGGGAAUUCUUUAAAAAAGGAAAAAACUAAAAAAAAACAAAGCGUUGUUCAAUGGUGAAGCUCAGAGCUCCUGUGUGUCCUGGGUCGGGUGGCACUUGGGGACACAAGGCUGAGUGUGGCAGUGGUUGGAUUUGGUGGCUUUAAAGGUUUUGUCCAACGUCAGUGGUUCUGUGUGAGCAUGCUUAAUUAGCUCAUUAAUUAAGGGGUGGCUGCAGAGGCACAGCUGGACCCAGCUCCCUUUUCCUCCCUUUUCCUCCCUUUUCCUCGUGGUCUCCCAUGCCCAGGGCAGUUCCCUCUCCAAGGGGCUGAGCAGGAGCUGGGAUUGUCCCUGUCACCUGUCCCCAGCCAUGUCCCUCCCUGUCCCCAGCAGCCCCAGUCCCUGGGUGUGCAGGGCAGCCAGGCUGCUUCUGUCCCCUGGGCUGGGCUUUGAGCCCGGCCUGAGCCCCCUCAGCCCUGGGCUGGGCAGGAGCCUCGAGCCAGGAGAGGGCAGCUCUGGAACGAGCCCCAGUUCCCAUCCCAGCCCCAUCCCAGCCUUAUCUCAGCCUUAUCUCAGCCUUUAUCUUAUCCCAUCCCCAUCCCCAUUUCCAGCCCUAUCCCCAUCCCAUCCCAUCCCAUCCCAUCCCAUCCCAUCCCAUCCCAUCCCAUCCCCGCCUUAGCCCAGCCCCAUUUCCAUCCCCAUCCCAGCCCCAUUCCCAUCUCCAUCCCAUCCCCAUCCCAUCCCUCAGCCCUCCCAGCUGGGCUCAGGCUGGCCCAGGGCAGCCUCACCCCCUCUUUGCCCAGCUUUGCCCCUGGUGCCAAGGCCAGGCUGGCCCUGCUCUCCCAUCCCUGGGUGUGCCCUGGCAGGGGUGGGAGAGCUGCUGGGAUUGGGCAUCAGGGAAUGUGCAGGGACUGUCCUGCUCCAGCUGCUGGGGAGGGGGAACCUUCCCUGCCCACCCUGUGAGGGGCUGGGGCUGCAGGGGCUCUGGGGGCUGCAGGAAAUGCAGGGGCUGCAGGAAAUGCAGGGGCUGCAGGAAAUGCAGGAGCUGCAGCCCUCCCACCCUGGGAGCUGCCAUCCCACCCCAGUCCAGCCCCAGGGCUCUGCCAGCUGCCCAGACCAAGCCUUAAACCAGCCCUCAUACCAGGCCUUAAACCCGGAGUUAAAAUUAAACCAGGCCUUAAAGCAAGAGUUAAAUCAGGCGUUAAACCAGGAAAUAAAUCAAGCCUUAAACCAGGAGAUAAACCA